CUCUCAUGGCACGUUUGGUUAGAAGUAAUGGAAUGGAAUGGAAUGGAAUGGAAUGGAAAGGUUAUUCCAUCCAAUUCUAUUGUUUGGUUCCAUUUUUUUUUUAUCAGAUUUGGCUUUCCGUAAGAAAGCCCAUUCACUGGUUUUGAGUGAAUGGUGAUUCACACUAGGGACUAAUGAAUGGCCUUUCUAUUCAGGGCUCAUUAACGUUUUGUCCAAAUUGUCCCCGAUUGAGAGAGAGGAAGCCCUAGCCCCCUUCACGUUCUCGAGCACUUGAAUCGCCAUCCAUCCUCAAGCGGCCGCACCUGUCAUUCUCGUUGAUUUUCUUAGAGCUCCAUCCUUUUCCUUUCUCUCCUCCUCUUGAUUUGGAUUUCCGGUUGCUGGUCUUGGAUUUAGCUUCACCGGUCGCAGGCGUUCGAAUGGUCUGCCUUGGACCUUCAUCAUGCUUCAGAUUUCAUAGCCUUUCCUGAUAGCACGGACGAAUCCCAUAAACAGAAUUGCCUAGGUGCACUAGAUGGAACCUAUAUUAGGGUAAGAGUGCCUAUGACAGAGAGACCCAAAUACCGUAAUCGACAUAUUGUUGUAGCAACAAACGUCUUGGGAGUAUGCACACGAGAUAUGGAAUUUAUAUAUGUGUUGCCUGGAUGGGAAGGAUCUGCAACUGAUGGUAGAGUAUUAUGCGAUGCUCUACGUAGGGCAAUUGGUUUACGUGUUCCAAAUGGAUGGACACUUCCAAAUCCAGAGGUCCAUGUCAAAAUAAAAGGUUUUGGAAUGAAGAUGAGGAUAAAUUCUUAAUUGAAAGCUUUAAUGGAGUUACAUAAUAAGGGAACAUAUAAAGCGGAAGGUAAUUUCAAGGCUGGACAUCUGCAAGCUCUUGAGAGAAAGUUACAUAAUAAGUUGCCAGGAUGUAACUUACUAGCUAGGCAAAAUUUUGAAGACUCAUUUUCAAAUUGUUCAUGAAAUGCUAACUGGGCCUAAUUGUAGCAGUUUUGGAUGGGAUCCAGACAGAAAAACGGUAACUGUUGAGAAGCCGGUGUGGGAAAGCAUAUCUCAAGAUACUUAUAAUUAUAAUUCAGUAAUAUGGUUGAUAGUAAUAGAAGUUGUUCAUUUAGUUACAUCAUUUUUUGUAUUACAUUUAGAGUCAUAGGGAAGUAUUACCAUUUAAGACCAAGACUUUUUCCUAUUAUGAUGACUUGUGUAUGGUUUUCAGCCAAGAUCGUGCAACUGGUAGGGGUGUCGAGGCUGCUGUUAAUGUAGUUGAUGAACUUGAAAAAGAAGCAGCUGAUGACAUUAAUAUUGACGAUGACUGUUUCAAUGACAUUCACAAUACAACUUAUAUUGAUGAGUGCAAUCAAUGUCUUUCUCACAAGCAUCGGCUAUUCCUUAAACUCAAGCUCAAUUGCAAGGGUCGUCUAAAAAAAAGGAAGAGUACAAACAAUGCAGAGGUUUAUGUGGCCAUUGAAAGAUCAUCUAGUUUACUUGCUGGUGUUAUUGAAAAGGCAAGUGAACGUUUAAGUUGGGCUAUCGGUGAAUGCAUGAUGGAAAAAUAUAGCUGGAUUAGAGAUGAGCUACAAAGGAUCACAACUAUUAACACAAUAGAACGACAUAAGAUAAUUCAGAUGAUGAUAAAUGAUGAUGCUUUAGUUUC